GUAUGUGCCUACAAAGGAAACACCUGAAUCAACAUAUUUUGACUGUAAAGGCCUGCUGCAAAUUAAGCAAGAUAUAUAAGCCUACAUUUUCGGAUUUUCUAGAAGCCAUUAGAUCCUACUUCAUCAAGCCCUCCGACACAACAACAAUCAACAUCGACGUCUUUAACAUGUUUUAAUGCGAACUGGUGGGGUAGUUUUGACAGAGAGGGCAGGUCAAAAUGCGGUGCUGAAGACCUUUAUAUCACGGGAUUUUAUCGAAAUGUACCUAGAAAUAAGAGCGAUCCCAUUCUUUUACUCGAAGAAGCAAGAUGUUGCGACUCUGCUUCUGCGUACAGCGGUCAAAACAGCGAUUGUAAAGAAGCUGAUUGGGGUACUUCUUUUGACCACAAUGACCAAUGGAAUUCAUGUCCUGUGGGGUACUUUUUGAACGGGUUAAAUCGCACCAAUCACAACAGAUUAUCGGACAUCAAUAAUGGUUAUUGCUGCAAACCAAGCAAUCAUCCUGACAAGUAUGGAUCGUGUUAUGAUGAAGAUGUUGGAACAUCGUUUGAUCAAAAAGGAUGGUCAAGCUGUUCCGAGGCUGGUUAUUACAUCACUGGUCUUUAUCGUGGAUCUGGUCACUGGCUGAACAACAUCGAUAAAUUUCGAUGCUGUCAAAAUGCUUAAUAAUAUCGAUGUAUAACAUCGAUACAACAAUAGGACAUACUACAACGAUUUAGAUUCAAAAAUUUUGCUAAAAAUCAGGUGGACUUAUCGGAAACUCAGAAAUGUUUUCGUUCUCGUGACGGUCAAGCGUGCACGCCAGUCUACUCAGUCUAUUAUUACAACAAGGUUGCAAGUUUUUUCACUAAGAUUUUUUACUAAGAUAUUCAACAUUUGCUACCACCUGAAUAUCUUGCAAAUGAAAUAAUGCAUAGGUUUGAACGCCGGUAAUUUGACUACAUUCUCGCAAAGUUUUAGCUGGAAACGUCAAUUUUAAAUAUGCUAAAAAAGCAAAUGUUUUUCGAUAUUUGAAAAAAAUUUUCCCGAACGCGUUCCCAAGGCGUUCCAGUGCUUUCACUUAGACGCUUCGUGUACCUUCGGAAAUUCCGAAUAAAUUAUCGAACAGCUAGUCAAUAUGCUUAAGCUACGGCUCGUUAAUUCUCGGCUUUUAGCAGGCGGGACAAGCGCUUUUUUUAUUUCGCGUAAAGAUAAGCAUAUAGUUAAAGUAAAUCGGGAAUAUCCGGGUAUUGACGACAAGUUCCGGAGUCGAUAGCCGAUGAAUAUCGAAUGGGUGCUGGAACGCGUUCCGGACGCGUUCGAGGAUGCGUUCAGAACGCGUUCUGGAACGCGAUUUUUAUUAGGUUAUUUCUGAGCAGUGCUGUAUGCUGGUGACACCCGAUGUACCUUG